GACAGAGGUGCCGAGCGUUAGGCGGAAUCACUGGGCUUAAAGCGUGUGUAGGCGGACUGAUAAGUACCUUGUGAAAUCCCACGGCUUAACCGUGGAACUGCUUGGUAUACUGUCGGUCUUGAGCCAGCUAGAGGUUACCGGAACAAAUGGUGGAGCGGUGAAAUGCGUAGAUAUCGUAAGGAAGACCAGUGGCGAAGGCGGGUCUCUGGACAGUUCCUGACGCUGAGGCACGAAGGUCAGGGGAGCAAACGGG
rnacentral:rRNA from 1 species